rnacentral:rRNA from 1 species
UACGUAGGGUGCAAGCGUUGUCCGGAAUUAUUGGGCGUAAAGAGCUCGUAGGCGGUGUGUCGCGUCGGCCGUGAAAACCUGCAGCUUAACUGUGGGCUUGCGGUCGAUACGGGCAUCACUGGAGUUCGGCAGGGGAGACUGGAAUUCCUGGUGUAGCGGUGAAAUGCGCAGAUAUCGGGAAGAACACCCGUGGCGAAGGCGGCUCUCUGGGACGGUACUGACGCUGAGACGCGAAAGCGUGGGGAGCGAACAGG